rnacentral:rRNA from 1 species
UGGGGAAUUUUGGACAAUGGGCGCAAGCCUGAUCCAGCCAUGCCGCGUGCGGGAAGAAGGCCUUCGGGUUGUAAACCGCUUUUGUCGGGGAAGAAAUCUCUCGGGCUAAUACCUCGGGGGGAUGACGGUACCCGAAGAAUAAGCACCGGCUAACUACGUGCCAGCAGCCGCGGUAAUACGUAGGGUGCGAGCGUUAAUCGGAAUUACUGGGCGUAAAGCGUGCGCAGGCGGUCGUGCAAGACAGAUGUGAAAUCCCCGGGCUCAACCUGGGAACUGCAUUUGUGACUGCACGGCUGGAGUACGGCAGAGGGGGAUGGAAUUCCGCGUGUAGCAGUGAAAUGCGUAGAUAUGCGGAGGAACACCGAUGGCGAAGGCAGUCCCCUGGGCCUGUACUGACGCUCAUGCACGAAAGCGUGGGGAGCAAACA